rnacentral:rRNA from 1 species
GCUUGCUGGGCGGAUUAGUGGCGAACGGGUGAGUAAUACGUGAGUAACCUGCCCUUGACUCUGGGAUAAGCCUGGGAAACUGGGUCUAAUACUGGAUACUACUUCUUGCCGCAUGGUGGGUGGUGGAAAGGGUUUUACUGGUUUUGGAUGGGCUCACGGCCUAUCAGCUUGUUGGUGGGGUAAUGGCUCACCAAGGCGACGACGGGUAGCCGGCCUGAGAGGGUGACCGGCCACACUGGGACUGAGACACGGCCCAGACUCCUACGGGAGGCAGCAGUGGGGAAUAUUGCACAAUGGGCGGAAGCCUGAUGCAGCGACGCCGCGUGAGGGAUGACGGCCUUCGGGUUGUAAACCUCUUUCAGUAGGGAAGAAGCGAGAGUGACGGUACCUGCAGAAGAAGCGCCGGCUAACUACGUGCCAGCAGCCGCGGUAAUACGUAGGGCGCAAGCGUUGUCCGGAAUUAUUGGGCGUAAAGAGCUCGUAGGCGGUUUGUCGCGUCUGCUGUGAAAGCCCGGGGCUCAACCCCGGGUCUGCAGUGGGUACGGGCAGACUAGAGUGCAGUAGGGGAGACUGGAAUUCCUGGUGUAGCGGUGAAAUGCGCAGAUAUCAGGAGGAACACCGAUGGCGAAGGCAGGUCUCUGGGCUGUUACUGACGCUGAGGAGCGAAAGCAUG